rnacentral:lncRNA from 1 species
CGGGUUUUCUGUAGAGUUAUCUACUAUGCUAUCAUCCAGCUACGGAUCUCUCAACAGCAAUUGCAUUCUUCCGGUAUUGUUUUCUUAUCUACAAGACAACUGCACUGGCAGCUCCUUAUUCUACCUAUUGCACGACUUGAUCUCGUCUUAUUUGUAUCAUAAACAUCAACCAGCUAUCCUGUUCGUUGGUUGCAUCUAGUUAUUGACAUCAUUGGUUGGUGGUGGAUGUUGU